rnacentral:rRNA from 1 species
UACAGAGGGUGCGAGCGUUGUUCGGAAUUAUUGGGCGUAAAGAGCUCGUAGGCGGUUUGUCGCGUCUGCUGUGAAAGACCGGGGCUCAACUCCGGUUCUGCAGUGGGUACGGGCAGACUAGAGUGAUGUAGGGGAGACUGGAAUUCCUGGUGUAGCGGUGAAAUGCGCAGAUAUCAGGAGGAACACCGAUGGCGAAGGCAGGUCUCUGGGCAUUAACUGACGCUGAGGAGCGAAAGCAUGGGGAGCGAACAGG